AGAUUGAACGCUGGCGGCAUGCCUAACACAUGCAAGUCGAACGGGAGUAGCAAUACUCUAGUGGCGGACGGGUGAGGAAUACGUAGGAAUUUGCCCUUAAGUGGGGGAUAACCCGGGGAAACCCGGAUUAAUACCGCAUGACCUCGAAAGAGCAAAGUGGGGGAUCGCAAGACCUCACGCUUUUGGAGAAGCCUACGUCGGAUUAGCUAGUUGGUGAGGUAAUGGCUCACCAAGGCGUACGAUCCGUAACUGGUCUGAGAGGAUGAUCAGUCACACCGGAACUGAGACACGGUCCGGACUCCGUACGGAGGCAGCCGAGUGGGGGAAUAGUUGGACAAGUGGGGACGCAAAGCCCUGGACUCCAGCCAAUGACCGCGUGUGUGAAGAAGGCCGUUACGGUAGUAAGCUAACGUUUAAGUUGGGAAAGAAAAACUCGACGUCUAAAC
rnacentral:rRNA from 1 species